UAGCACAGGGUCACUUGAGGUGGUGUGUAGCGAGUGAGCCAGCCUCCUCCGUGUGUACUUUGGUUGUCUUUCAUGCAAUCUUCAUUAGCCCUCAUUCAGGCUGGGAAGCAGUGCCUGGCUUUAUCAUCCUAUAGCCCUCCUGUCUAGUGGCUUGAGAUAGCAGUUCAUCUGGUACAUCUCUGUUAUGGUACAGAACACAGGGUCACCGUUUUUAAGCAUGCAUCCAAUAGAACGAAACCAAAAGUUGCUUGCAGUGCCCAGGAAGACCUGUGCUUAUGUUCCCAUUGUUUCCAGGGGUUGAUGGCACCAAAGCAUCACAGAGCGUUUGCUCUCCUGCAGCUAAAUGAUGGCAAGUAGGCAGACAUUCUAAAGACUGUUUCAAUUACAAACACAAAUUUUCAACUUUCUGUGGGUCGAUUUUAAAGGCACGCAAUAUAACUUUAGCUUAGUAAAACCUGAAGUACACAGUACAUAUGUCAUUUUAGUUUUACUUGGUACCCCUUCAUUGAAGUCUUGGCAAAAAAAAAAAAAAAAUGUUGCUGUGGAUAUCUAAGAGCAUUAACAAACACAAUAAGCCCAUAUGUUAACUUUAAAUGUGAAUUAAGGAGAAUUUAGUGGCAUUUUGCGGAACUGACUUUACAGAAAUGGAAUAUAAUAUUCAGAAGUAGGUUUUAAUAAGUGUAUAAUCCCAAGUAAAUAAGAAUUGUUAUGUUACCUAAGAAUUAGCCCUUUAUAGCUCGAUAGGGAGUAGGUACUGUUCUGUUGAGCCUGCCUUGUUGAUGUUUUAUACAGUGGCCCAGAAUGGACAAACGGAUCUAGAGGGGACUCAUUUCGUUUUUCAUCAUGGAAGACUUACAUGUUAGAUAUGAUGUAUCGUGUUACUGCCUAAACACAAUUUAUGAAUCUAUCAAUGAACCUCAUCCCUUGUGAAUGAUGGAAUCAUUUAGGAAUAACCUGCUUUCACCUGACAGGCCAGUACAGGCCACAGGGGCUCAUCCUACGUCACUGCAGUGGGAUGGGAGCGUUCAGUUUGUCCCCGCUAGAGGCCAUUAAAUCCUGCGGCACCAUUAAUAUAAUCGUAUAUACAUUUUUAUCAAAACAUUAUACAUUUUGUAGGACUUUAGGAAGUUUCUUUCUAUAUAGGAUGAUUUUGUUUUCAAGUUCCCUCCCACAACCUCUGGUAUGACUAUUUCUGUCCUCCUACUUAAGUCUUAUUUAGUUUCAUUUCUACAUACCGCAUUUUUUUCUGCUUUUAAAACAACAAGUCUUCUCAUUCAAGGUAACAUUGCUUCAAUGUUGAGUAGACAUACUCACAGUGUCAUUAUGGUGUAUUACCAGAGGGUGGCAGGCAUGAUCCACUAGGUUGUCACAACUCUGCAAUGUGACUAACAUCAUGCCCGAGGCUAGGUCUUCCACACAGAUGGAGUAAACUGUUUUAUAUUCUCAAUCUCUGUUUUCCCCUUAUUGAGAUUAAACAAUUGCAUCAUCUGCUGCACUUUCUACACUUUCUCCUUUCUAAGUGUCCUAUUAAUGAUCAAUCAAUUAAGGAGAAUGUAAUGAGGAUAGAGGUUAUGAUUGAGUUCAGCUGUAUGAAAUAACAACUGGGCACAUUAUUAUAUUUGAAUGCACUUUCGCUUUAUUCUACAGAAACACAUUGGGGACCGGGGGAACCCUAAUCAGUUCCAAAGGGUCCAUGGUGGACCUCCGGUAGAAUCACUCCUCAUCCAGCCCCCUCUGGUGGUAAGAGAGCAGAGAAAGUAGAUUUAGAGCGAGAGAGAGUGUAAGGAAUUUCAGGUACAUUUAUGUGGAGGUAUUCUAAUUAACAAUGACAACUAGACUUAACUGCGAUGCAUGUUGCAGGCUUGAGUCAACGCAUCGCUUCAAUUAUAUAUGCAAAUAGCCUUUAACUAAUAAGCACUAACGAUUGCAUUUAUUAUUUACAAUACGAUACUGUGUGUGAAUUUACAGGGACAAUCGUAACUGUCAGCUUAAAAUGUCUAUCCUAAAAUAAAGGCCACUGAAUCAAAUUCCACAACAAACAUUCAAUUACUCUGAAGUCCAGAUACAUUUCAGCUAGGAAAUAUUAAAAGCUGCCUCUUUAUUAUAAAUAAAAA